CUGAAGCUCAGCAGGCUCUGACUCAGGGGGGGUCUUCAACUGCUGUUCCCAUGAUUCUUCAGACUUUGAAGGACCUUAAGGAAGAUCAGAAUAUCCUCCGAGACAGAAUGGACAAGCAAGAUACGGUCAAUGAGAACAUCCAGAAGAUGCUUGCCAUGAUCUUGCAGAAAUUGCCUCAGAACCCUUAGGCACUUAGGAUUUUAUGUUUUGCUUGCCUUCUUGUUUUUGCUUUCUUGUUUUGCUGACUCUGAUGUCUGGUGUUCUCUUGGUUUUCGUUUCUGCUAUAUUUUAAUACAAUGUUUUGUUUUUCUCUUCAAUUAUUUAUUUUCUAUGUCUUUUUGAUUCUGACAAAAAGGGGGAGAAAUCAUUAAAUAGCUCUGAUGAAAAUUGUCUAAAAACCUUAAGCACUCUGCAACAAUUGUAGAAAUAGCUCUGAUAAAAAUAGCUCUGAUUAAAUAGCUCUAACAUUAAAUUUAAG
rnacentral:lncRNA from 1 species